GUUCCUUGAGCGGUACUUCACAAGCUUCCAGAAUUGGCGUCAUAACGCCACCCACGCAUAGUGCUCCUCUCACCUUCUUCUUCCCGUUCGUCAACGCCCACUUCCUGUAUCCACACAGAUGGAUCAACAGAGGCAUUACUGGUGGUGCGUUGUUGAGAUCGCCUCUCAAGACAUUCUUCCCCUUCGUCCGGCGGAGAAUCCCUGUAAGCGCAUAAUCUAUCAUCUCCAUGUCCGUGUUAGACACGGUGUCUGUAGACUCCCUGGAGUAAAAGACGUUGGCGACCGAUCGCUGAAAGUAGCAGAUCACAGGACUUCGGAUUUGGUUGCCCUUAAACCGCGCCGAGUUUAGCGGUAGAUUGUUCCCUAUAGUGGUCCACAAAUCCUUAAGCUCUUCUCUGUCAAAUCUGGGUUUGGUUCCCUUUCCACAAGGGAAACCAAACAGUUCUUCCAACUUCUUGAUCGAAAGCUGAUACCGCUGUUCAUUCACUGAGAACGUCAAGAAGCCUAACCCCAUGGUAUCCAGCCCAAAGUCCGUGAGUGCCUCAUACAUCUCCACUUGCAGCGUGGAAAGAAACUCGAUUGUCUCCUCCUUAUAGGCAGGGUAAGGGUAAGACAUGAGUGUCUCCAGAUGACACUUCUCGAACAGAUGCUGCACGUCCUCCAGUAACCCCAGCUAGGCUAAAGUCUCAUAGCACGGAUACCGCGUUCCCCAGAAAUCAUUCAUCUCAAAGAACCUGAUAUACUCCUCCACUGUAACCUCGUCGGGUUUGUUCAGCAGCUUCGUCUCCCUGCACCAUGACUCUGGCUCAUACUCAGUCUCGAUAUCCUCAUCAAUCAGCUCAUAUCUACUUGACAUCGCCCUCUUUCCUCUGGUGAUUUCAGCUCUUCUCUGAUUACGUCAGGCUGCAGAGCGUUCGAAUUCAUCCCUGAAGCUCUGGUAAACAUGUUGCUCUCUCGGUCUAGCGGAUCAGGACUCAGCUUCAUCUACAUUGUAAUCAGGGUCCAUAGAGGAUUCUCCGCUGUAGUUACUCAUGAUGAAACCUGAAAACGGACAAAACUCAAAAAUAAACGUUAAUACGUUAGUAAUAGCAAACCAAAAACACAAACCAAUCAAGUGAACCGGUCGAGUGAUUUAAUAGAGUAAACCGUCUGUUUUGAAAUAGAUUUUUUUUCGGUUGAUCGAGUGAUUUUGCUUGGUCGAGUGGUGAGCUUGAAGAGGAGGAGUCGAGUGAACUGUGAAACGAAAACGGGCUUGUGGUCGAGUGGUUAUUGACAGCCGAGUGAAGCCGUGAAGCUUGAGUGGUGAAAACAACGAGCAUUGGAGUUGAAUCGAGUGAACUUGGGGAAGUCGAGUGGCCAAUGAACUUGAGGGAUGGGAGAACGACGGCACCUUGGUCUUGUGGUGAUGUAGAAGUGGUGAAGGCGGCUUGGUGAAGGGAUGAUGUGAGAAGAAGUCGAGUGAUUAAGCGAUGAAGAAGAUGGUGAUUGGGGAUCGAGUAAAGUGGAGCUCACGGAAGAAGAGAAGACGGCGGUGUGAAGCGGUCGAGUGGUUGUGGUAGUGGAGAGGUCGAGUGAAGGUUGUGAGGAUGACAAUGGUGAUGAGCGACGGUCGAGUAGCAAGUGGAUUGGAGAUGAGCUGCGGUGGUGAUUCCUUCAGGGCGAAUGAUGAGGCUUGGACGGAGGAGAAGGUGAUGUGAAAUCGAGUGUCGCAGCAAUUGGUGAGGUCGAGUUGUUUGGAGUUGGUCGAGUGUGGGAGGAAGAGAGAUGGGGAGGUCGCGUUUUUGAAGAGAGAAGGCGAUGAGAUCGAGUGAAGGGAUAAGGGGAGGUCGAGUGGAGUGGAGAAGAAGAGAUAGAUUUCGUUAUCACUUUGUGGGAGCGU
rnacentral:sRNA from 1 species